rnacentral:lncRNA from 1 species
AGAACAAUUCAGCUACAACUAUAGGCAGUGCCUAAAAUCUCUUUGGAAAAAUAUUCCAAUUAGAUCGGCAACUAAUCUAAAGCUCUUGACAUAGUCGUUCUUAAAUUAGCAGUAGCAAAUGCAGCACAAACCAAAGCUACGUUUGAAAAAGCUUUCAAUGUUAGACUUCAUGUGAAUGACAAUGAGAUAACAACUAGGUUUCUUGAAUCACGCGUAAAUUCGUUAUGCGAGUUGUGUGGUUGAAGGAGUCUGAGAUCCUUGAUAUAAUAGGAGUUAUGGAGUUUAAUUGUUGUGUAGCCAAAUUAACAGUAGUACUUGUAGGGUAAUCACUAAGAUAUAAGAGUCACGAUGGGACUUGAACUUGCUAUGAGGAUAGAGUUUAUCACCACUGCUGAUAAUUGGCCGAUAUGUGUGGAACUCUAAGAGGAUAAUUUGGUAUAUAUAUACAUAUUGGAAAAGUCCCUGCUUCCACACAAAAAAGACUCUCGGGAACUAAACCCUAUUUACUAGUAGAGGUCAUCACUGUGUGCUGGAAAUAGAAGACCGAUUCACUAGUUCAUUCAAUGGCAGCAACAUCAGGUAUGUCGCUCUUGCAGAUUAUAUAUAGGGUUGUGUAUUGAGGUUGUUCAUGGAUGUAGUCCUAUCACUACACUGAUUGAGUUGGUGGUUAGUAUGUUUAUGUUAAUGCUAACAUGUGGUAUCAAAGCCACUCAACGUGGCUAGGGUUCUUCAUUCCCGUUAAGGACUAUGAUAUAGUUUUGAUAAAUACAAAACCAAAUAUAAUCCUGGAAAAAUAUCGCUUCCGCUAUAUGUUCUUGCGUUAUCAACUUGAGACUUACCUAUCAAUUAAAAUAUGAUGACAAGCUACUUGGUGUUUCUCGAGUUGUGUUUGCUAUGUUUUGCAGGAAACCUAUUUCAUGUAGGUGAGGACAACGCUGAAAAAACCAGCAAUAACAGAAGACCUUUUGGAUUCAUAAUAUGCUUGUCAAUACUAAACUGACAAAUAUAAUAUGAAUCAUAAACAAGGAUUACAACAUCUAAUCUGCUCAAAAGUGUUUAGAUUGUUGUUGUUUUGGCUUGUUGACCAACUGAUUGGAUACGUGGUUUAUUCGUAUUAAGUGAAUAAUAAUCUGCUCAAAAGUGUUUAUUUAUUCAAGUCAAACAAGUAAAUCAAUGUAUAAUGAGUCAUCAAAUUGACAAGAUUACACUCUUCAUCUGCUCGAAAGUGUUGAAGUUGUGUAAAUUGCCCUUGUGUUUAAUGACUCAUUUAUACAAAUCUAAUAUAAAUGGUUUCUGUCUAAAGAUGAUACCAUGUUUAUAUGACUUUGGAUGGGGAAAUAUUGUAACAAUAGUUUUCCUUGUUUGAUAAAUUAGCUGCUGAAUAAUAUUGUUUUUGUGAUAUUCAUCAGCUCCUCACAUGACGUCUCUCAACUUCAACAAUAUAAAGACCUUGACUGGCUCCAACUUCAAGAAAUGGAAGGAGGAUGUUGAGAUUGUGCUCGGUCUCAUGGAUCUUGAUCUGGCACUAAGGG